rnacentral:rRNA from 1 species
CAGUAGCCGCGGUAAUACGGAGGGGGCUAGCGUUGUUCGGAAUUACUGGGCGUAAAGCGCACGUAGGCGGCUUGGUAAGUUAGAGGUGAAAGCCCGGAGCUCAACACCAGAACUGCCUUUAAGACUGCAUCGCUUGAACGUCGGAGAGGUGAGUGGAAUUCCGAGUGUAGAGGUGAAAUUCGUAGGUAUUCGGAAGAACACCAGUGGCGAAAGCGGGCUCCUGGACCCCACCUGACGCUGAGAUGCGAAAGCGUGGGGAGCAAACAGGAUUAGAUACCCGCGUAGUCCCUGUCUCUUAUAC